CCUUUUGCUGGCUUGAAUUGUGAAUCUUCAGUGAAAGAGUAAUGCAUUCCUUACAUGUUUCACUAGUGUUCGUCUGGCUUCAACUAGGUGGGGUGAGCAGCCAGGAGAAGGUGCAGCAGAGCCCAGAAUCCCUCAUUGUCCCAGAGGGAGCCAUGAAUUCCCUCAACUGCACUUUCAGUGACAGUGCUUCUCAGUCCAUCUGGUGGUACCAACAGCAUCCUGGGAAAGGCCCCAAAGCACUAAUAUCCAUAUUCUCUAAUGGCAACAAGAAAGAAGGCAGAUUGGCAGUUUACCUCAAUAGAGCCAGCCUGCAUGUUUCCCUGCACAUCAGAGACUCCCAGCCCAGUGACUCCGCUGUCUACCUCUGUGCAGUGAGCACACAGUGCUCCCCAGGCACCUGCAGCCUGCACCCAAACAUAGUNGGCUUCCGCAGGUCUGAGCUAGAGUUCAGAACAUAAGGGGGAGAAAUCCUGCUUAUUCUCUUUGUCCUCCACAUGUAAUGGGAGUUGAGAGCCACNCAAGAGAGGGUUUGACUUAUGGGGAUACAAAUUUAUUAUUCCGAGGAUGCAAAGUACACAUAUUGGUAUGAUUGAAAUAUUUUUUAUUUUAUUUUAAUUGAAAAAAUGCAUACACUAUAUCCUGAUCAUGGUUUGCACUCCUCCAAUUCCUUCCAUAUUCUCCCCUACCUCCCCAUACAACAAAUACUAUACCUACUUUCUCUAUAUAUCUUUAGAAAACUAUCAGGCAAAUAAAAUAAUUGAAAGAAAGAAAAGGCACAGGCUAUACACAUAUGAGCCAUUUGUGACCAGGACGUGACAUUCCUAUCCUAGCUCCCUGGCUGCAGCCCCUCCGAGCAAACCCAACAGUGGUGAGAGCACAUUCUGACUUCUCCUUUCUGUACUCCAUCCCCUGGGCCACAGCUCUGCCUGUGUCCCUGGAGGCAUGCUUCCACCUGGGACAAAGCACGUGAAACCCCCAGGAUCCAGUCCCCUCCCUGCUGGUCCCUACCCAUUGUAAACCCAGCAGCCUUGAAUAAAUAUUUCAAAUUACCUAGACGACUAACUUAGAAUAGAACAUUUUCCUUGCUUUUAUUUUAUGAUUUUCAGCAAACUAAAGACAAGUGGGGUAAAA